rnacentral:lncRNA from 1 species
AAUAUGGCUCCGGCGCGGCGGCGGUCGGCUCUCUUUCCCAGCGAUUGGUUCUUCUUCUCCGGCGGGGGCUGGUGGCUAGGGUUAGGGUUCAGUGUGAAGUGAGGUAUUUAUAUAUCCCUUUAAUCUGGAUUGUCUAUCGCGUUUGAUUUCGACUGUCCGAUCGCGUUUAAAUAAGAAAUGAAUAUGGACCGUUCAUCUCAAUUUGAUCUAAACCAUACGAUCGAGU